rnacentral:rRNA from 1 species
GAUGAACGCUGGCGGCGUGCCUAAUACAUGCAAGUCGAGCGAACAGACGAGGAGCUUGCUCCUCUGACGUUAGCGGCGGACGGGUGAGUAACACGUGGAUAACCUACCUAUAAGACUGGGAUAACUUCGGGAAACCGGAGCUAAUACCGGAUAAUAUAUUGAACCGCAUGGUUCAAUAGUGAAAGACGGUUUUGCUGUCACUUAUAGAUGGAUCCGCGCCGCAUUAGCUAGUUGGUAAGGUAACGGCUUACCAAGGCAACGAUGCGUAGCCGACCUGAGAGGGUGAUCGGCCAAACUGGAACCGAGACACGGUCCAGACUCCUACGGGAGGCAGCAGUAGGGAAUCUUCCGCAAUGGGCGAAAGCCUGACGGAGCAACGCCGCGUGAGUGAGGAAGGUCUUCGGAUCGUAAAACUCUGUUAUUAGGGAAGAACAAAUGUGUAAGUAACUAUGCACGUCUUGACGGUACCUAAUCAGAAAGCCACGGCUAACUACGU